rnacentral:rRNA from 1 species
GAUGAACGCUAGCGGCAGGCCUAAUACAUGCAAGUCGAACGGUGUCUUCGGACAUAGUGGCGCACGGGUGCGUAACACGUAUGCAACCUACCUUACAUUGGGGGAUAGCCUUUCGAAAGGGAGAUUAAUACCGCAUAAGACAGUAGCUGGGCAUCCAGCAGCUGUUAAAGAUUUAUCGAUGUAAGAUGGGCAUGCGUCCAAUUAGCUAGUUGGUGAGGUAACGGCUCACCAAGGCAAUGAUUGGUAGGGGAACUGAGAGGUCAAUCCCCCACACUGGCACUGAGAUACGGGCCAGACUCCUACGGGAGGCAGCAGUAGGGAAUAUUGGGCAAUGGACGCAAGUCUGACCCAGCCAUGCCGCGUGCAGGAUGAAGGCGUUAUGCGUUGUAAACUGCUUUUAUACAGGAAGAAACGACUCUUGCGAGAGGCAUUGACGGUACUGUAUGAAUAAGCACCGGCUAACUUCGUGCCAGCCGCCGCCGUAAGAC